GUUCACUCUUUUCCCAGAACGUUAUAGAAAAGUAAUUUCCCCAAGGACUAAAUUACAUACAUAAAAAUACUGUCAUCAGCACAGUGGACUGAUUGAUGUUGUUUUGAUAAAGUAGAAAGCUGUAUCUGGUGUAUUUGAAAGGAGCACAUGUGACUCCUGUGAAUCAUAAGCAUAAAUUCCGGCCACCAGGCCUGCUCGUGAGAUCUGUACAGUUUCUGCUGGUGAGUCAUCUGAUUGCCAAAGUAAUACAUGCAGCUUUUCAGUAUGAUUUCAUCAGAUUCUAGGUCCAAUUGAUACUUAGAUGCCUGUGAUGUCAAUUCCUUUUCCAUAAUCUAAUACAGUGAAAACUGUUUCCCUGAAUAUUUUCAACAUGAAUGUGCAAAGAGUAAUUUAGGCUGAUGCAAUCGGCUAUAAAUCACCUGAGCCGAGAUUCAUUUAGAAUGAUCUAAUGAAAACAUGGACUCCCCAUAUUCACAGCAGAGAAGUUUUUCACAUUGAACACAGACCAGAGAAGUGUUUCCACUAAUUUAUAGGAUGAAAAAAAAAAAAAAACUACUGCCUUUCAUUUCUCUACUCUUCCGACAACUCUGAGAACAAUGGUUCCUGAGAGUGACAAUAUCUGAGGAAAGAGCAGGUCCUGCAACCAACGAGAAAUUCUCCUGCAGCAUUUCAAAGCAGGCAAGAUGGAGAGUAUUUGAGCGGUCAAAUAGAGGAUAUGAGAAGAAAAAAAGAAUAACUUCUAUGUGGAAAAAUAACCUUGCAGAAGACAGACAAUGAUGGAAACCUCCUGACCCCUUCUACCUCUUCAUCAGAACCAAAAUUUACCUCUGUUUCCUCCUUACGCACUCUAAUAAUCUGCCAUGAGACGGGAUGUUAGAAGUUACAUCACAAGAGGAGGGAAUGAAGAAUUUGGUAGCACUGAGGUGCUGGAAGAGGGAUAGAGAGCACCGUGAGAGCGGUGUGGAGGAUUGCUGUAAUGUGACUGUGGAAGCCAAGCCAGGAGGAUGAGGUUCCAAGUGCAGUAACCUUGCUCAGGCACAAGAUGAUGGACUAGAGGAGGCACUCCCAAUCACUGUUACCCC
rnacentral:lncRNA from 1 species